rnacentral:lncRNA from 1 species
GGUUAUAGAUUGAACUCUUAUAAUUUGUUUGGAAGUGAAAAAGUUUGUGUUAUUAAAAAGAGAAUCAAUUUUGGGGUAGAGUUUUAUGGGUCUCGGUUUGUGGAAGAAAAAGGAAAGAAGGGGGAGAGUGACUUGUGGAGGGACCUUGGAAAAAAAUGUAGAGUUACAUAAGUAAUAUGAGUAAGGGACAACGGUGUUUUGUUAUUAUAAAAUAAAUUUAGGUGUUCAAUAAAGAGGAGGAAGAAAGCUACUCAAUGGUUGCAUGGGAAGGCUUUUGUCAUGGUACGUUGAGGUGCAGAGGAGAAAUUGGUUUAUUUAUUAACUGUGGGAAGUANAAGGGAGGAUUUGUUUUUGACUUUGGAGUGCAUAGGUGUGAGAUCCGUGGGUCCCACUUAAAUGGAAAGAGAAGUGA